UAAUGCUUAAAAAUCCAAUGGAGCCGC
rnacentral:sRNA from 1 species